rnacentral:misc_RNA from 1 species
AAGUCGUAACAAGGUCUCCGUAGGUGAACCUGCGGAGGGAUCAUUACCAGAGAUGGCGGGCCCUCGGGUCCCCGUCCCAACCCUUUGUUGACCAAACCACUUUUUGCCUCGGGGGCAGAGCGGCCUCCGCCGCCCCCGGUGGACCAACCAACCCUGCCUCUGUACGUCGGAGUCUUUGAUAAAUAAAUGAAAA